rnacentral:rRNA from 1 species
AUUGAACGCUGGCGGCAUGCCUUACACAUGCAAGUCGGACGGCAGCGCGGAGCAAUCCUGGCGGCGAGUGGCGAACGGGUGAGUAAUACAUCGGAACAUGGUCCAGUAGUGGGGGAUAGCCCGGCGAAAGCCGGAUUAAUACCGCAUACGAUCUAUGGAUGAAAGCGGGGAUCGCUAAGACCUCGCGCUAUUGGGGUGGCCGAUGGCGGAUUAGCAGUUGGUGGGUAAAGGCCUACCAAGGCGACGAUCCGUAGCUGGUCUGAGAGGACGACCAGCCACACUGGGACUGAGACACGGCCCAGACUCCUACGGGAGGCAGCAGUGGGGAA